AUUGAACGCUGGCGGCAUGCUUUACACAUGCAAGUCGAACGGCAGCGCGGGCUUCGGCCUGGCGGCGAGUGGCGAACGGGUGAGUAAUGCAUCGGAACGUGCCCAGUAGUGGGGGAUAGCCCGGCGAAAGCCGGAUUAAUACCGCAUACGACCUGAGGGUGAAAGCGGGGGACCGAAAGGCCUCGCGCUAUUGGAGCGGCCGGUGUCGGAUUAGCUAGUUGGUGGGGUAAAGGCUUACCAAGGCGACGAUCCGUAGCUGGUCUGAGAGGACGACCAGCCACACGGGGACUGGGCCACGGCCCGGCCUCCUAGGGGGGGCGGCGGGGGGGAAUUUUGGAAAAGGGGGGCAACCCUGAUCCGGCCAUGCCGGGGGGGGGAAGAAGGCCUGCGGGUUGAAACCCGCUUUUGUUGGGGAAAAAAUCCUCUGGGCUAAAACCCCGGGGGGAUGACGGUACCGGAAAAAUAAGCACCGGCUAACUACGG
rnacentral:rRNA from 1 species